UAUGUUUACUUGAGAGAACUGAGGGAAAUAGGCAGAACUGAGUGGUGAUGGGACCGUGGUCUUAUGCAGCCAUGUAUCUCUAUGUGGAAGGCAUUAGGAGGAGGUGGGUCCAUGGCGUUUGUUCUCAGACCUUGGGAAAGAAGCCACGUGAGGAGGAGAUGGGAAACGCUCGGCACAGAACCACUCUGUCUUAAGGCCUUCCCUUCACACUGGUUUUAUUUGUGUUUUGAGAUAACUCAAGGAUCGCUGUGGUGUGCUUACAGAACCAUGGAUGUGCUGAGAAUCUCAGGGAGGGUCGGGGCAGGCAGUUUGCUUUGGCAGGCACGGUGUGAGCGCAUGGGAUGAGGGCUGACCGCCUCCUUCGCUCCGCACUGACGGGUUGGCCAUUUUCCUUGGGUGGUGGCCAGCCAUUCCUGCUAGAUUCACGUUACAGGGCUGUAUUUGCACCCUUCUACAUCAUCCCAGGCAUCCAGAUGUGUGACAGACGUGCACUCAUGCACUGCACUGUGGAUGCUGUAUUUUGGCUGCAGCAGAGGUAAAUAUUAUUUCUGUAUCAUGUGGAGGAUGAAAUAAUACCUCUUGAGGAUUUGGAAGAAAGACGGAGGAGACUCAGUUUAUCAUGGUCUGCCCAUAGCUUUUUUCACUUGAGCACAUUGUCAUGCAACAAGAAAUAAAGCAGGAGAAGAAAAUGCAGCUUAGUGAUUAAAGGGAUUUUGGCCUCCAAGCGAAUCCUGGUCAGCCCCUUCCAAAAAACAACACGUUGUUUGCAAUGGCAUCCUCCGCCCCUUGUCUUCUGUAACUAUCAGGAUGCUUCUUCCCCCUCUCCUGAAAUGUGAGUUGCUCACAUCUGCUCAGCUGCAGCUCACACAGAGGCUGACUCUGGGGUCCUCAGCCUGGAGGGGAUAGGAGAACAACACAAGCUCAUCCAACUGGUAAAAUCCUGUCCAUAAAUUAGAAGUGCAGGCUCACAGCUCUUGUUUUUAAACACUAAACGCAUCCAAUUGCUUUGCUAAAGACUCUCACUCUAGCAGAAAACUAUAAUAAUCACAAAAUCCUGUUUGAUGGGGGAAAAAAAGGAUAGAUGGCAGAAGCAUGAGGUUGGCUUGGAUCAUAUCUCUUGCCCUGUGCCUGGCACCAGGUGACAUCCGAAGCACAUCACAGCCAUAGGAUGGCAUCGUGAUGCUGCUGUGAGAUUGUCCCAUGUGCACAGACUGCAGCACCCCAACCUCAUCCCUGUCCCCAUAGGCAGUGGUAGUGUAGGGAGGGAAGGAUAAAUAUAAAACAGGAGCAGGUUAAAUCCCUCAAAUCCCUUUCUUUAACUUCACGCCCCUAUUACAACUGUGCUCCUGGAGCUGGGGCAUUCAGUCCCUCCCAGUACAGGCUGUAAAGCAUCCCUCCUUCCAUCCCCUUUUUCAUGAAUAUCUAAAGAACUGGGUGGCUUUUCCCCACCCUCUCAUGGCCCUCUCACUCCCAGCUCUGUGAGUCCAGAGCUCAGGUUUUCUCACGCUUCCCAUCUCUUUGCAGAGCAGAGCAGCUGCAGGCAGUCUGUAUCUGGAGACACUGAAGGAUAUUUUCUGGAUUGCCCAAGAAACAGCCAUCAGCUUGGAAGACGCCCAUGGGCAGCGGUUUGCAGGAGGCAAUGCCAAAAGGUGCCCAAAAAUAAAUCACAGUUCAAUGGAGACCAUGCAGUGGCAGCUGGGAUAUCCGAGCCAGCAGCAGAAGGCAAUAUGUGCUUCCAACCCAUCCUUCACCCCUGUAAAAACACACAAAUAGGAGCAGAAAGGCCACCGCCUGCAGGCCUCAGCCCUGAAGGUAAGAUGCAAUGGGCAGCUGUGGGUGCAGGGAGAUGAGAAAGGGAGGAAUGGGCAAAGCCAUGGGAGCAAGACUGCAGCUUGCUGCCUCUAAUGAUGCUGGGCUAUGCCAAGGGGCAGCUUGAUGGGUUUAAUUUAUCGUUAUUCCCUCCCUACAUAAUCUCUGAGAAGUGCCACUUUCAGUUUGUAUAUCUUUCCUUGACAUGUAUAUUUAGCACUCAUUAACCACUUACCUGGGCUAAUAAUUCAGCUUUUUGUUCCAAACUCUAAAUUUCCUCAUUUCCGCGAGUUCUUGGAGCCAAAGAGAACAUUUCUGACAGAUUAAUUUCGACUUUGUUUGAAGGCUUACUGCAGCCUUUUGGUUUAUUUGAACAAAAUUUUCCAUGUUUUCCAAAGAUUAGUCAUUAUGAAACCAUCUCGUUGCUUUAAAGCCCUAAAUGGUUCUUACCCCUUUCAGUAAAAAGCAAGUUCAGAAUGCCAGAAAUUGGUUGUUUUUAAGAAGAAGAAGAAAAAUUAAAAAAAACCCUCAUUACAUCUGGGUGUUUUAGCCAAGCUUGCAGCAAUUAACAUCGCUGUUUCUGUCCAAAUCCUUUACUGCCCUAAUUUAUAGGUGCUAUCAUUGCUUUAUUGUAGAUUCAAUGGCCCAGUGGUUUCUUUUCCAUCUAUUUAACCUCUGUCAACACAUAAAUCGUCGGGAAUGAUGGGACCUGGAGUGAGUAGCUCUUGCACAACACCUUUGUGCAAACAUUAAAUAUGCUGCAGUGUUUAAGCACACGCUUAAAUGUGACUUGAGUGCAAUCUUAGCAGCUGUGUCAAACAGAUUCAAACUGUGUCAAGCAGAGAGGAUUAGGGCUGUUUGCUGGAAAAGAGACUGAUGCCGAGGGGCUGAGCACCUUCAUGCUUGAUUUCCUGCCUAUGCAAAAAGCAACAUGAGUGCAACAAGUCAAAGCAAGCACAGGCUGCACCGCAGGGUUUUCCCCAUCAGCAGAAGUUGAACUUGGCUCACAGCUGAACCUGAACCAGAACCACCAAGCGUGGGAGAUAACAAAUGUUUAAAUUCUUGAUUGCAGAGAAACUGGGGAGGUGCCACCAGGAGCCUCUCUGCGUUUCCUCAUCCCACCUUGAGGAGAUGCUGUGGUCAGCAAAAGUCUCCAAGAAGUGUUUUGUGGUUGGGUUUGGGUUGUGUUUUCGGGUUAUUAUUUUAUUUCCACUGCUCAGCUGUAGAAGGAGACAUGUUGCACGUGAACAAGGAAUCCCCACAGGCUGCAGGAAAACAAUCAGCAGCCCAGGCUGAGUAGGAAGUGGUUGGAAAUCCAUCCUAGAAAGCUGAGAAGUGAAGCAUUCAGCUUUGAGGAGGGUUUCGCCCUCUGUUGCAGGUUAUUGCCAUUGGCAAAACCAGGAUGGAGGACAAGAAAACCUGGAAGUGAAAACUGGGGAGGCCUGGAAUUGGGCAAGAGGGAAGGAGAGGUGUAAAAACAGCCUCCAAAAUGUUGCUCUGUUGCAGGACUCAGCCUGCAUGGAAAUCCCCACCGUCAGGAUCCCAUCUGCAAAGUCUGUUUUCAAGUUACACAGCGCUAAUUUGUGGUUUUGAGGAGAGACUAUUGGAAAAUAGCAGCACGAAUCCAAGCCAAAGUUGCUAAUUUUGGCUGGUCUUUGCCUUUCUUGGUUCCAAUUGAAGCUACAUUUUGUUUGAAAACAUGGAACUCAGACAUAAGGAAAAACGAACCAGAUUAUGAAGAUUUCCAUUCAUUAGUAUGGCCUAAUAUAACUGAGUUUUGCACAGUGCAAGGACAGGAAUAUCCCCACCAUCAUAUUUUGGGUUGCUUUUUUUUUUGUUUGUUUGUCUGUUUUGUAUGUUUCUUAUUCGUAUUGGGUUGAAGAUGUGCCUGAGUGGCAGGCACCUCAACAUUUGCCUGCAGGCAAAUUAAGAGCUAGUUUCAAAACCAGCCUCUAUGCAAGGCUGGCUGCUUCUUUAUAGGAGAAAUCUCAGCAUGUUUACACUUGCAAUGGCAGAGCAGAGAAAUAUGCUUUCUGAUUUUUGGAGCUGAUAGAGCCCCCACUGAGUGGAAUGAUUGAGACCCUUGUAAGAUGAGAGAUACUUAUGACAUCUGGGGAACUCAUGCUCAUCCCAUCGUUAUUUUUGGUGGUAGCUACUGGCUUCUAUACUCUUGUGCUAUAUAUUCUUGUGCCUGGUAGCUGGAUGCCCCAGGUGGUGAGGAGCUCAGCUCAGGGGUGGUGGCAAGGUGUCCAUAGUGUGACACCUGUUGGCACUGAGCUGGCAGAGGGACACGAGAUCCACCACAAAACACAGCACCUGUACAUGUCUGUUGGACUCGAGGUUAAGGCUGCAUCUGCUCCUUGGAAACAGAUUUAAGAAGCAGACGAGAUGGCAGGCAUAAAUCUGCUCAGGGAAGGGUCAUUUCCAUAACACCUGCUUGUUAUUGUCUUCUGCACUGCGUGGAGUCCUUUUACAACCUUGCAUUUGGGGAGCUUGGCUGGGCUGCCAAAAAAAACAGAGGGAAUCGCUCUUUUAUGAGCCAUCCCUUCUUCCCUUUUAUGCUGUUAGGAAUUUCCCUCUGCGUAUCUCUCACAAAUUCCUUUUAAAAACGUUGCAUUCAAGUGAAAGUGAUCCAUCCCAGCUUGGCUUCUCUCACAUCAGCAAGUGAAGCUCUUGGUCUCCUUUUCACUCUCUGUUUUUUAGGGUUUCCAAUACAUCAGACCAACGGCCUGCAGAAGAACAAUUACCUCAGGUGAGAACUAAUUAUCACCAUCACCCAUUCUGGCUGGAGGGAAAGGUUUCCUGUGGAUUCUACGUGGCCAUGGACUUUUGAUUAGGAAGUAAUAACACGUGAAGACUUGGGUGAAGUGUUUCUGCACUCAGCCAACGCCAACCCUGGGUUAAAGUCUGUCUUCACAGCCACAAGGUCUAUAGGUGGGAUAAGGGGUCAACUUGGCACCGAUUUAAAAGCACAGCCUUGGUGUUGCUGCUAUGUCUGAGCGUGCAGUAAACAACAAGCAGAGGAAAACAAGAGCAGCUUGAAUGCUUUCCAAGGGAGUGAUUUAUUUUUUCCCCUUUGGUAAACUCCCCUUUGUCAAAAUGAAAUCUUUCCAGGAGAGAAAUUAGCUUAUAAAGAUUUUGGUCAAGCCUUGCGUUUGUUUGUUUCCAAAUGUCUUUUUAAUGAAGUCGUAGAACCAUAUCAGAUUUUGUAAAAGUCAGAAUGAAAACAAGAUGUAUCCAUUUUGCCUUUAAAAACAGGGCUGGAAGCAAAGGAAGAGUUUAUACAGUUCAGUUCUCUGGCCCUGUGUGGGAUCAAAUAUUUUCGGCAUAUGGAUAAAAAGCCAAGAAAUGUUAGCAUUCCUUCUGCUUCGUUUUUAUCUUCUUCCUCACUCCGCAGUCUCCCUUUUCACAGUGCUUUGCUACUGCCCAUUAAAUGCCCUUUGUUGCCUCUGUAUUUCAGCUGUCCUGACUUAGAACGGCGCAAUUAAUUACCAACCUGCACUGGAGCAUCCCAAUCCCUGGCCUUAUUGCAAGGUGCCUUCCUGCAGCUUUCCCCUGCUCCCCAGCCUAGGACAGGCCUUCUUGUGUCUUGUCCUUCACUCCCUUCCUUACCAAGCCUAGGAAGUAAUAUGUGGCAAUGCUGGAGAAAAUUUUUUCUGUCUGAUUGGCUGUUUAAACCAAACCCACACUGUUGCUGCUAUUGGAGCUGGCCAACAAUGGCAAUUUAAUGAAAUCCAAACAUUUUGGGAAAAUGUAUCGAUUUCACCUGCAGUUUCAACAGGAAAUUAUGGAAACAUUUCCAUCCCAUAUAGUCAAAAUGUUUCCUUCUGACCAUUGCAUCGGCUGCUUUCCUACCACAAAUAUUGCAUGCAGAGCAGUUGAUGUUCAGAUCUGUAUCUGAUGUGUUUCAAUGUAAAAGUCAAACCAGAAAAAAAAAAAAACCCACCCCAUUUUGGCUCCACUGGUAAUUUGCUCUCGUUUGUACUUGGAAAAAGAAAGACUCAUAUUCCAGUGGCUGCUUCCCUCAAGACAAAUGCUUUAGAGAAAGCUUUUUUCUAACUUUAAUGUUCAAAAGUGUCAAGGAAAUCUGAGUCAUUUGCCUGCUUUGAAUUGUACAGAAUAAAUGGGCUUCUCAAUCCCCUGGGCUGUUUCAACAUCUCAGCCAGAGGCCUCUAUUAAAAACCCAGCUAACUCUGCUAUGACACUUUCUUGUCCCCAUCUCACAGAUGGGAAAACAGCCUGGUGGUGACCCACCUAGGUCACAAGCAAUGGAGAUGGGGCCAGAGCCCAGUCCUUCUCCCACUGCCCAUCCAGCCUCAAGUGAAGCUAAAUUGGAUACUGGGAAGAAUUUAUCCACAUAUCCAUGUUGGACACACAGGGAUGGUCAGCGGUGUACGAGUCAGCCCAGCACAGCAGAGUUGCAAAAGCUCUUUUCUUUCUUAUGCUGGCAGAUAACCCAGUUGGAUUGUGUGGGUAGAUUCCCCCAGAAGAAUGGUUAUUCCAGGGCAGGAGUAGAGUCUCAUUUUAAAUUCCCCCAAAUGAGAUUAUCUGCACAGGGGAAAGUACUUGUGUACCAGGAUAAAAGCAUCCAUAUGGGAAUUUACACCAAGAUAUCCAGAAGACAGACAACUCAUAUCCUAAAUCCAUUUAACUGAUCCGUAUGGACAUGUAGACAGUGGAGGGAUGAUAUCCUGUGCUCCUGAACACCAAAUGAAACCAUCUGUACUCGAAAAACACUGUCUUCUGAUUCCUCUUCCUGUUGCUGGUUGCUUGUAUCUUUUGAAAUAACAGUAAUUUCCUACUUGGCAGCUAUACUGAACCAAUAUAUGAUUCCUGUGUUGUAACCUUCAACUGAUUUAGAUGUAGGUCUUGGUCUUCUCAAGGUUAUCUGUCCCAACAGGCCAUCAGUCCAUGGCCUAUGGCACCCAGGUAAGUGGGAAUAUGGAAAGUAUCAUGGGAAAUUUAGUCUGAAUGUAGCCAGGAUAACAGCUUAUGGAUUGCAGCAAGGCCACAUUUUUAGAGAUUCUGGUUAAUGCUGUACUCAUUGUACACUGGCGAAGACUCAACAUCUUGGUUAAGCUUUUCAAUCUGCAGGGCUUUCAUCCCAAGGAAACCCAAUUGAAAUUUAAUGUUGUUAGGAUUGUGGGCUCUUUUGCUGUUUGCUCUCAAGGGAAAAUGGGACCCUCCAAAACAGUUUCCUUUCCUGCAGAAAAAUUCCAAGUCUGCAGAAAUUGCUUUUGUCUACCCGAAAGAGCUAUUUCAGUGGGGAACUCCUGGCCAGCUCUGAAGCUCAGUUAUUUAGGGGUGAGCUUAUGUAGAGAUGUCAGCUGUGUAGCCAACUAUUAGCUAAGCUAGCUGUAGAACUUGAUCUCUCACAUAUUUAUCUUUAAUAGAAACAGAGCCAUCAGUGGCCUGUAGUGGUUAUUUGUGUUUCAGAUAACUCCCUGCCCUCAGUUUGGGGAAACCAUCAUUGCUUCCUUGUGCCCAAGGAAUGACUUCUUUAGAACAAUAGCAUCUCCAUCUAAUAGCUAAAUAGCCUUGAUGCACGGCAGUCUCCAGCUAGAAGAAAAGCCAGAGCAAAGCUUCCAUCCAAGGCGAUGCCAGCCAGAUGCAGGGCACCCUGCAAUGGCACAGUGUUGGGUUUAUCCUCAACCCAAGGCAAGAGGUCCCCUGUGCCAAAACCUGAGAACGUCUUCUAUGCUUUCCACACAAGUCUUGGAGCCAGCUCUCCUAACAAGUCUGGGUCUGGUGCCAAGAAGGCUUUGCUAAAGGAAACCCAACAGCUCAUGCAUGAUUUGUUUAAACAACAAAUGCCCGCCCUGGCAUACAGAGCUGUUAGCUUUCCAGUCCUUUCCAAGGUUGCUGCUGCAUAAAUAUGCCGAGCACACAGCUCUGCAUCAUGUUUCCAAGCUCUCCUGCUCGCUCUGUGGCAUCCUGGGGUCUGAACAUCCGUCCAGGCAUCUCUGUCUCUCUUACAGAUCCAGGCUUUGGCUCUGCUGGCCAGCCCACUUCUGUGGAUUUUCAUCUUCCUGCUAGAAUUAUGCUUCUGCAGGAGCUCUCCAUCUCCUAUAGCAAAAAACCCAGUCUAGGAAACCCCUUCCUUUAAGGUUCCUCUUGAAGUUUUGAGGGACCCAUGGCUUUCUCAAAGCAUUCGGCAUUCCCUUGUCUGUGGUGUGCUCCAUGUUGCUUUUCCUCAAUGUUCCCAAAGAGACAGUCCAGGUUAAAAUUACCCCUGGUGUAAUGUCUUGGGGCUUUUGAUGCUGCAUAUGGAAGGCAGCUGUCAAUUAGCAGCUGAAAAAAUAGCCUGCAGUGCUAAUGAGAGCAAAUCUAAUAGAGACCUCUUCCAAAUUGUUUCCAUCCAUUUUUCAGAGCUUUUAAUUGCUGUCAUAUUAGAAGGAUGCCAGAAGGAAAACACGAGGGAAAAGCCCCAUUCAGAGGUAGGUUCCUCUGCCAGGACUGGCUCGGAGGCAGCCUUUUUCCCUGAGUUUCAUUCACAGGAGCUUCUCAACUCUUUUACAAAGCUGCAUUUAGCCCUGGGUCCUGGCCAGCUCCUGCAAUCUCAUUUCCCUGGCAGUGAAGAUGGGAAGAGGGCCCUUGGUUUUGUUACCAAGCACUUCAGCCCUACAGAAGGCUGGGGAUGGAUGCUACCUCCCAGCCACCCGCUGUGCUGCACUGUGACUCUUUUAUUUUAGAAGGAAUGUAGUUAAACAGGGGAUAUUAGCUACUGGAAAAGCAACAGCAAAAUAUGCAAUGUUUCUAAAUUCUUACCAAAUAAAGGCUAAUUGUUCUGUGGAUAAAAUGAGGGGUCUUGGCCCUGCAGCUAAGAUGCUGCAGAAAGAAAGCAAAAGAAAAACAAGGCAAUGAACGAAACACAGAGAGGGCAAUACAAACAAGAAAGCAAUGUGAUCUGUGAAACUAUUACAUGCAAUCUCUCCAUGUACUUAUACUGUAUGGGAGCUGCUCAGUCACGGCCUGAACCUCUGAUUGAUCACCUGAAGUGAGCCAUGAGUCAGCCAGAGGAGCACAGGUGAAGGCAAUUCACCUUUGCUCCUAGACCUAUUUAAGAGCUGGCUACCAGUGGGGAAGGAUCUCUCCUGGAGAUCUGCUCUGCUGGAGUUUUGUAAGUGAGCCCAGGAUACAGCCCACGUCUGAAUCAGCCCUGGACUUGGACUAACCCUAGCUGCAGACUGAGCUCAUAAGGACUUCAUAACUUGCUGGCAAACCUUGAAGAACAGGCAAGUGAUGGGUGUGCAGAGCAAUAGGGCAGUGCCUGAGGAUGGAGU